CUUGACGGAAGCUACCUAAUUUCUUCCGACGGAAAAUAAGCCCUAGGGACCCCUGGGUUCAACACCACCAGCAAGAACCAAGAGAACAAUAGGACCUGGUGAUCAGAUUGACUUAUCCUUGACAACCUAACGGCCCAGAUGAAAGAAAUCUCAAUGAAGUGAAAUGCAGAUUGCAGUGUGAUAUUGACACCAAAUGACAUCUUUAGGUUGCUGUUUGUGUCCUCUUUGCUUGAUGGACUGAUUGAUGGGUUGAGAAAACAAUUGUCUAGAUCUGUCACCAGGGCCAAAUACCAAAACCAUUGCAAAAGGACUCUUCUUCAUUCUGAUUUUUCUCACUCAAUAGACGCCAUGCUUCCCAGACAACUAGGAAACCAGAAUAAAGGUUUCAGUCAACAGUGUUGGGGCACUGAUCUUUUUCUCUUUCUUCUUGACUUUUCCUGCUGCUUGGAUGACCUGGGAAGCCCAUGGAGUCCUGCUGUAGGCUGACACAAGUUGGGGAGAAGGUGACCCACUUUGGACCAUAAUUUCUACGGUCAGCCCAAGAUGGAUGAUGAUGAUGAUGAUGAUGAUGAUUAUGUCACAAAACCAUAGAGUCUAUGU